GACGAACCGUGCGAACGUUGUUCGGAAUCACUGGGCAUAAAGGGCGCGUAGGCGGCUCUCAAAGUCAGGGGUGAAAUCCGGCAGCUUAACUGUCGAAGUGCCUUUGAUACUGGGGAGCUCGAGGGAGGUAGGGGUGUGUGGAACUUCCGGUGGAGCGGUGAAAUGCGUUGAUAUCGGAAGGAACGCCGGUGGCGAAAGCGACACACUGGACCUCUUCUGACGCUGAGGCGCGAAAGCUAGGGGAGCAAACGGG
rnacentral:rRNA from 1 species